CCUACGGGAGGCAGCAGUGAGGAAUAUUGGUCAAUGGGCGAGAGCCUGAACCAGCCAAGUCGCGUGAAGGAUGAAGGAUCUCUGGUUUGUAAACUUCUUUUAUCUGGGCAUAAAGUGAGGAACGUGUUCCUUUUUGUAUUUACCUUAUGACUAAGCAUAGGCUAACUCCGUGCCAGCAGCCGCGGUAAUACGGAGGAUGCGAGCGUUAUCCGGAUUUAUUGGGUUUAAAGUGUUCGUAGGUGGUUAAUUAAGUCAGCGGUGAAAGGUUGUGUCUCAACCAUAAAAUUGCCGUUGAAACUGGUUGACUUGAGUAGAUUUGAGGGAGGCGGAAUGCGUGGUGUAGCGGUGAAAUGCAUAGAUAUCACGCAGAACUCCGAUUGCGAAGGCAGCUUACUAAACUAUAACUGACACUGAAGCACGAAAGCGUGGGGAUCAAACAGGAUUAGAUACCCUUGUAGUC
rnacentral:rRNA from 1 species